AGAGUACGGGAUGGAUGGAAUUGUUUCGACGCAAGGGGAUGUGUACAGUUUUGGUAUUGUAGUCAUGGAAACAUUCACAAAAAUGAAGCCUACGAAUGAAAUGUUUGUUGAGGAAAUGAAUCUAAAGCAAUGGGUUGCAAAUUCACUAUCAUCAGAAGCAAUAGCUGAAGUUGUGGAUGCCACUCUACUUGCGACACAAGAGGAAGAUCAUGAUUAUGUGUCUAAGAUAGAUUGCUUAUCGUCUAUUAUGCGAUUUGCUCUUGCUUGCUCUGUAGAACCACCGGACGAGAGGAUAAACAUGCAAGAAGCCGUAGCCAUGCUCAAAAAAAUCAAGAUGAAGUUUUUGAAGGAUGCUGCAAGAAGUGCGCAGUUAAACCGUCCUCUUGUUCAUGCACUUUGAUGGAGUUGUUAAUUUAUGGGUCCUCGUGUAUGCAUUUUGAUUCAGUUUCAGUCCUUAUUUGAUGCAUUUGUAUGCAAAUAAUAGUGCUGCUUAUAGGUUCCUUCUUGUAAAAUCUUCGAUUUCUGAUAUUCAUGUUAACACUAUAUUAGAAUCAGCAGAUGCAGAAUUCUUUGAGGAUAUAUUUCCUUACAAAGAAAAAAGAAUCUGGUUCUAAUACAAAAAAGACUCAUAAUCAUAGUCAUGACGAGGCCUCUUCUUCUGGUAUCCAAGAAAAUGAUGUGGAACCAAGAAGAGGAAAAAGAAUCAAAGUUUUUAAAAACUUUGAACCAGAUUUCAUUGUUUUCUAGUUCGAAAAUGAACCUAGAACUUUUAAAGAAGCAAUGUCUUCUUCCGAGGCUCCUUUAUGGAAGGAAGCAAUUAAAAGUGAAAUGGAAUCCAUUGUGGAAAAUAACACUUGGGAAUUGGUUGAUUUACCUCCUGGUAGUAAACCAAUUGGUCAUAAAUGGAUUUUCAAGAAGAAACUUAAGGCGGAUGGCACCAUUGAUAAGUUCAAGGCAGGUUUAGUAGCCAAAGGUUAUUGCCAAAAGGAAGGGUUGGAUUAUUUCGACAUCUAUUGUCUAGUUUCUCGCAUAACGUCAAUUAAGACGUUAAUAGCAAUUGCGGUUGUAUACAACUUUGAUAUACAUCAAAUGGAUGUAAAAACAACAUUUGUAAAUGGAGAACUAGAUGAAAAAAUAUACAUGGAACAACCUGAAGGGUUCGUGCUUAAAGGACAAGAAAGCAAAGUGUGCAAAUUAGUUAAGUCAUUAUAUAGACUUAAACAAGCACCAAAACAAUGGCACGGGAAAUUUGGUCAUACUUUGUUGACACAUGGGUUCAAAAUAAAUUAAUCUGAUAAAUGUGUCUACAUUAAGAGUAAUGAUAAAACUUGCAUUAUCGUCUGCUUGUAUGUGGAUGAUAUGCUCAUAAUGGGAAGUGAUAAAGACGUAAUAAACAAAACAAAGAAAAUGUUGAAUUCAAGUUUUGACAUGAAAGACUUAGGUUAAGCCGAUGCCAUUUUAGGAAUUCAAAUUAAGAGAAAUAGUGAAGGGUAUGUCCUUACACAGUCCCAUUAUGCAGAAAAAAUAUUACGAAGGUUUGGUCAAUUUGACUGCAAACCUACUGCAACUCCUUUUGAUGCUAGAUGCAAGUUGGAGAAAAAUAAAGGCAAUGUCAUAUCUCAACUCGACUAUUCUCAAGUAAUUGGUAGUCUAAUGUACUUGAUGAAUUCGACUAGGCUUGACUUAGCUUAUGCAGUAAGUAGGCUUAGUAGAUAUGCAAGUAAAGAUAUACAAGUAAUCCGACACAAGAACAUUGAGAUGCUUUCGUAAGAGUGUUAAGGUAUUUGAAAAAUACACUUGACGGAUUACAUUACACAAAAUAUCCACCUAUAUUGUAGAAGGCUUCAGUGAUGCCAAUUGGAUUUCCAACACUACAGAAUCAAAGUCGACAAGUGGAUAUGUUUUUACCAUAAGAAGUGCAGUAAUAUCUUGGAAAUCCUCUAAACAGAAAUGUAUAGCUCAUUCCACCAUGGAGUCAGAGUUUAUAGCUUUAGACUUGGAUGGAGAAGAAGCCGAGUGGCUCAAACAUUUUCUGGAGGGUGCGGCCAAAGCCUAUAAUUGCUAUAUGUAUACACUGUGACAGUAUGGCUGCGCAAUCAAGGGCCAAAAGUCAUGUAUACAAUGGGAAGUCGCGACACAUCAAGUGUCGACAUAAUACUCUUAAGAAGUUGUUUUCCAAUGGAAUAAUAUCCAUUGAUUAUGUGAAGUCAAAGGAAAAUAUAGCUGAUCAUUUGACAAAAGGCCUACCGAGAGAGCAAAUAUUAUUUACAUCGAAAGGAAUGGGUCUCAAGCCAAUUCAAUGAAUCGGACUGAGCAGAAACCUAACCUAGCUGAUUGGAGAUCCCAUGAUCUAGGUUCAAUAGGCAAACUAGUUGAGUUUGAUUCAAAAGUUGAACACACAACUUACCCAUUCUUAUGAUAAAAUGCGUGUUGUCUGUUGAGUUUGAGGGGUUAUGUUUUAUACAUUUAAUGACAUUAAUAUUUUGUUAUCAAGAGGAAUAUGGCAGACUAUUCUUAAUUAAUGUCACCUAUAUAGGAGUAAAUGGGGCCACAUUUAUGAGAAUUGAAAUGGCUAAAUUCUCUAAAGCUCCAACGAAAUUCGGGAUCUGUUUAGGGCCAAAAUGAACACAACAGUAUGAAUUGACGUGUGGCAGACAUGAUAUGUGUGUAGCAUAUUGUCUCGAUUUACUAUUGCGGUGAACAAUUUAAGAUCUUCCAUAUCCACUGCGUCACCAAGUAAGCCCGAUAUGUUUUCACUAGGGUAAGUUCAUGUCCAAAAGGCACUUCACUCAAUGCAUAUCAUGUCUAUUCUCUUUCAGUUUUAGGCAACCUAGUCAUACAUUUGCAUUUACAUUUGCAUUCAAAUGUGAUGUGUUAUAAGUAAAUUGGUGGUGUUUGAAUGAAAUUUCAACUCAAAUGUGGGGUAUUGUUGGAAAUUUUGAGUAGAAAUUUCAUUGUCCCACAUUGGUUACUACCAAAAGGUUUCAUCACUUUAUAAGGCUUUGUCUCUUAUAGAAAGUGAUUGGAGUGAUGGAUCUUAGAGACUAAAAUUGGGCUCACCCUUGGAGUUGGGCUUUGGGGUGUGGUGUGCUAAUUAAUUAAUAUAUAAUAUAUAAUUAAUUAUCAAAAGAUGGGCCUUGGGCUAGGGCUCUAAUAAUUAAAUUAUUUAAUUAAUUAGUUUUGAAUAUAAUUAUUAUUAUUUUUUUGUACCAACAGACUCUUCAUUUUAGAUGAAGACUAAACAGUUUAUAAAGAACGCAGAACAAAACACCCCUCUGGAAAAUAUAUAUAAUUUGAUGAAAAUAUUGUUCUUUGACAUUAACAAACGAAAAAAAAAAAGCAGUAGACAUUAGCACAAUGGAUAUUAAUAAUCUGUUACUUCAUGGCAGAGUAAUACUUCUUGAAAAGCCCUAAACAGAUAGAUAGGCAACAAGAACUUAGAUAAAUUGAAGCAUCAAAACCCUAUGUUAGCAAUAGCAAGCCCUCUCCCCGCUGGCAGAGAGGAGGACGACAACGAUGAUGGCGUUGAGCUACCUGAAGUUGCAAACUUCAUGGCAGUGGCGGAGCCAGGAUUUCGGGUUAGGAGUGGCCUCUCACAAAUAUUAAAAAAAAAUUAAAUCGAUAGUAGUUACAAAACUGUUAACCAAAACAUCAUAGUAUAUAUAUGAAAAGUAACCAAAACAUCAUAGCAUAUAUAUGAAAAUGAUCAUAUUGGAGAGUUUCCGAGUUAAUUUCCAUAGAAUCCACACAAGGUUGUUUUGAACUACUUUCAUUGUUCUUUGAACUCUUUGGAGACGGUUCUAAUAUCUCAGGUUGUGUUUUUCUUUUGAAAUAUCUUUCCAUAACUGAAAUGUAAAAAAACAUAGACUCACUAACUUUAAAUUAAAAGAAAUAUGAACAUAUAUGCUAAUUUUACAAACUAAAACAAAUUAGGCAAUAGUUAAGAGAAAUUGCAAGACAUCAAUUUAAUCAUAAUUUAUAAACAAAAAAUUGUAACAGGAAUUGAGAGUAAAAUACAUACUUUGGGUUGUUGACUAAUUAACUAAACUUUAAUGUCUUUUUUAUGGAAUGAUGGAAUAAUUGAAUUCUUUAAUCUGCAAAAAAAAAUAUUAUUUGUUAAAUUAAUUUACAAUUGUAGAUGACAACAUAUAUGAAUUAGCAAAUUGUAAAAAAAAAAUUGAAAAUGACAACUAUGAAGAAUCGAAGUUCAUACUCUUGAGGAUCAUGGAAAUUGAAGACUGAUAGAUUGAUAGACUGGUUGAAGACUGUGACAUGCUAUAGAUGAGAGAAGCAGUGUACGGCUUGUGUACCACGGGAGGGAUCAGACUGAGAGAAGCAGUGUUCUGACUAUUUUUUCAAACUAGCAGCAGAGCAACAGUCGGCUAGAAUUAGAGAAUAAUAAAAUACUAAUUUUUAGUAUUGGGAAAAUGAAUGGAAGAUGAAGUGUUGGAAGUUGGAAUAGGUUAUAGGUAGGCUUUAGGGUUAUUUAAAGAGGGCCGGAUAUUCUUAAAAUAUUUAAAGAGGGCCGGAUAGUUUGUCUAGGAAAUAUGAAUGAUUUAACUGAAAAUAAUAAAAUAAUAAGUAGUACUAAUUUUUAGUUAUAAACAAAAGCAGGAUGGGCCUAGGACUACUGUGGUCCUAUGGUCCCUCCGCCCUUGCUUCAUGGCAAAGAGGGAGAUGUAGGUUACGGAUCAAUGGAGUUCUACUCCUUUCUUGUUUGGAAGCUUAUAGGGUUCUUCUGGCCUUUUAAUUUUAUUUUUAAUUUCUUUCUAGAUUUUAAGAUAUUUUAGUUUUAUUUUUAUCUUUAGUUAGUUAAAAUCCACAUAAGCAUUUAUGUCAUUUAAUGAAUCAAUAAGGACUCUUGGAUGUUAAGUAAUCAAAGGGUUUAAAAAAAGUGUAAAAAUAUUUGUCAAAAUGAUGAUGAUGAUGAUGAUAAUAAUAAUAAUAAUAAUAAUAAAAUACAAGGCGUCAUAAUUCUAUGUGGUAUAGGGUUUAAUCAGAAAUUCUUUGGUCCUACGAUUCUAUUACUAUGAAUGCGAGCAUCUCCAAUGCACCAGAAAUUUCUGACUCAUAUUUUAUAUUUAAGUCCAAAUAUGAAUAAAAUCAUCCAUAAUACACCUGAGACUUAAAAUUAUAUUUGAGUUUCCGGUAAAAGUGAGAUCCAAAUUUAGAUUUCAAUAUGAGAUUUGAGUUUUGAAUCUAACCACGUUUAAUGCACAUAUUUAAAUUGUCAAAACUCAAUCCAACAUCCAAUAUGUUUUUCUCUCCAAUACAAACACUUAAAUCUUUAUCAUAUAUCAUUUUCUAUCAUAUAUUAUAUAUAUAUAUAACUAGGACAAUGGAUUAGAGCACCCAUAUAUAGUAAUAUUUCACAAGUAAUAAUAUAAGGUGUCAUAGUCAGGGACGGAGGUCUUUGUAUUGCCUAGUGACGUAUGAUAUGUGUUAUUAAUUUAAUAUGUCAAGUGAUUGAGCAACUAUGUUACUCUUCUUUUAAGAUUAUGAAAUUUGUUGGAGAAGCAAAGAGGGAGAUGUAGGUUACGGAUCAAUGGAGUUCUACUCCUUUCUUGUUUGGAAGCUUAUAUGACACACCCCGUCCCGAAGGAGGGCAUGCUGGCCGUCACGUGAGAGUGACGUAACCAUUUGCAUUGUACGGAAGCUUUAAGAUACAAUUUAUAAGUUGAUACACCCGAAGGUGAGUCCUAAUUUGAUCCAUUCUGUCAGAACCCCGCUGAAUUCCUCGUAGCCACCACUCCUCAGCUAUUAUUUAACCUGGAGGGGCGCAAAACCAAAAUUGAGUGGGUCAGUAAAACAAAUCCUUUCAAAUCCAACUUUUCUUUAAAACAUUGUAACCCCUCUCCGUAAAACUUGUAUACUUUCCCAGAAAUGUAAAAUAUAAAUAUACAUAUAUAUUCUCAAUACUUCAAUUCAUUAACUCAACAUUUUUCAAUACAAAUAUGCCAUGCCAUGUCGGAAUUCAACAGUAAGUAUGAAUGCAUCAACAAUAAUUAUAUCAGGUGCAAGAAGUAAUCAACCGGAGGCCCUCUAAUGGCCCUGUACGGUUGAACCUAGAGCUCAAAAUCUAUCACUCUCACUCUGCCGGAGUCACCUCUGUGACCUGUCCGGCCUUCUGCACAUAAGUCGGAACCACCUAAUGUAGUUUGUACGACCCAAUGGUUAAUAUUACGCUCUAGUGCUUCUCUCAUCAUCAUCUGUGCACAUAAUCUAAGGUCACCCACCAGUCGAAAUCUCACUAACACUCUACGACUGGCCCGUCGCACCCACUCCGCGUGGUAUGUACGACUAGCAUCUACUUGGAUCCAAGGCGAGCGUGCGAUGCGGUGAAUACUAUAAGCACUAAACCAUGGUGCAGGAUUUGAGCUCAAUAUAUAUCAACAUCAUCAUAACAGUAAUUAAAUACUCACCUGAUACUCACCUGUGCGUCCGCCGCACCAAUUCAUACAUAUGCAUCAUAUAUCAAUUUAUAUCAUUUCAUGCAUGGCAAUUCGAUUCACAUUUCUAUAUACUUUUCAUAUACUUUCAUGCAUAGCAUUUCAACUAAUAUAUCUCAUAUACUUUUAUACAUUUUCAUUUAAAGCAUAAUUUCAUGCAUUUUCAAAUUCUGGGAAAACGGUAAGUGUAUAUGUAUACGGAAAAACAAAACUGCCCACUCACAGUAUACAUCGACGUGUCGUAGGUCCCUGAGCCUCCCUUAGCCAUGCCCAACGUCCGUACAAACCUCGCCUAUACGAGAAAUAACUGAAUUAACGUUAUUUAACGCAUAACCCAACUCUUAGCUAAUAACUCCUCAAAUAUUGCUCAGUUUGGGUAUAUGAAUAUACCACCGUGACCUACACGACGUCACGAACCUGUACAUAUUUUUAGAAAUAAUUUUGGACCAUGCACGCGCCCCCACGCGCCGGCGAGGACACGGGUCUACGCGCGGCCCACGCGCAGUAACCCUAACGGAAAUCUUAACGGCGUUCGGAAUAUUCUGUUAACUUCUAACGGUAACCGUUAAAACUGACUAACGGCGUCAGAAUAUUCCGUCAAACUUGACGGAAUAUUCCGUCACCUUCAACCUUCAGCUUCGGCGACCGUCGUCGGCGCCGGAAAUUGGGUAAACCUGCAACUUGAGUUUUCUCAGCCAUUUCUUCACCAUUUUCACUCAAAUUUCUUCCUACAUGCUCUAAAUUAAGAGAGGAAGAAGUCCUUACCUUCAAAAACUUGUAAAAACGCCUGAAAUUCGAAAGGGUAAAUUCUCAAAAACCGGCCUUCAUGGAACUCGUGAUCCCGACGUCAAAACUUACCCAACGAAGUACUCCGAGCUUCGUGGGAACCUCCUAGAGCUCCCUGUGAGCUUAGAUUUCCCUAAAACACAACAUAUUCAAAGAUCAUGAACAUUGCUCUUCACGGGAACUUUUAAAACUACGUUUUCCGAAGUAGAACUUACCUGAAAUGGGUACCAUUGUGUUCGUGUGGUCUUCAGGAGCACGAUGGUGGUUUCAAAUUGAACGAUGGUAGAAGUUUUAGAUGGUUUUGGAGCUUGCCCGUGUGAGUUCGAAGGAGAGAGAGACAGAACUGAGAGAAAUCGUGAGGGAGGAGAGAGAGAGGGACAAGGUACGGGAAUUGGGGAAGGUUUUGAGGGAUGUGGGGAUCCCACGUGUCCAACCCAAUCCCAAUUUCAAACUUUUAACAUAGAGACCUAAGUAUAAGUCUUGGUUUAGGUUUCUAAAACCAAUUAAUAUUCUAAUUCACCAAAGUUUAAGAACCUUAAGUAAAAACAAGUGUCCAAAUUACGCACUUUAGUCUCGUUUAGGGACAUUUUCGUAACUUCACGUCCUCGGAAUUAAAAAUUCCGGGACGGGCUGUGACAAUCUCCCCUCCUUAUAGAAUUUCGUCCUCGAAAUUCCAGCCACCAACCAACCCAUCAAAACUCAUAAAAUAGCCUCGGAUACAUAUCUCUCAUCCGUUCUUCCGUCUCCCAAGUACCUUCCUCCGCUGAAUGGUUCCUCCACAAUACUUUUACCACUUACUCUAUCUUAAUUCUCAGGACCUUCUUUUUCCAAUCCAAAGUCGUCCAUAGCUCCUCACUAAUUAGAUCCAGCUUAAUUCUCAAUAGUUGCACCAGAAUUCCAUGAGACGACUCUGCCACCUAGUGACAACGCAUCGAACACAAAAUACAUUAUGUGUCUUAGCCAAUUCUAAAGGCAUCACAAGCUUGUAUGCAACUUUAUCGAUUCUUUUAGUGAUCAAAACAGUCUGAUGUAUAUAAACUUAUUUUGUCUUCUUUCCAAAUCUCACCAUUUCUGUUCGUGGUGAAAUUUCCAAAAUAUCGAAUCAUGAAACACAUCAUGCACUUACGACAACUCUGGAAGCCAUUCAAUUCUAUAAUCAACUUCACCAACCUUUCGAUGAUCACGCUAAGUCCGAUUCAUUUAGGAUUUAACUUGUCUUCCUUUCCAACCCGAAUUAUACUUUUCUAUGGUGAACACUUCGAAAAUAUAAAACCAUUUACCUUAUAUACUCAAUUAGUGGCAUAUCCAUCUGUUGAUCUCUUUUGCCAUUCCUGGUUACUUCAGGUUAACAUAAUCACCUGAAUACUUUGAGGAGACUCAUCCAUAGUCUCAGGGUCUACUAAAACUCUUUCUUGAUCGAAUCUUUCUCUAUUCAGAAGCAUUUCAUUCACACGACACGCUUUAGGGACCCUAUGGCGUUAUUUUGGAAACUGCGCACCCAACAUACUUAAGAAACUCAGCAGUUCCGUAAUCCAAUUCUCUUUCCAUAAAACAAAUAAGUACCGUUGUCCUGUCUGGGAAAAAGUUAUUACUCAACACUGGAGUAAAUAUACUAACUUGUUACGUUGCCCAACCAUCACUUCACAUUCGAUCGUAACCAUCUUGUAUACAAGGAAACUUGUACACAUAGUCCAAAGUAAUAUCUUUCCAUUUCCGUUUCGAAACAGAAAUUAGUUGUCUCAAUCCAAAGGUUUAUCUCUUUCUGCCUCAAUCUGCUGAUCAAAUAAAACUGUCGAGUGGUAUGAUAAAUCUUAUUACUUUUGGAAUAUUGCAGAAGUUGAAUAGUGAACUUCGUCCAAUAUUUGCUUGCUUCAAAUCCUAAGCAUUAGGCACAUACUUUUUGUUUUCUUGUAUCCACAUACCAUUUGAUUCACGAAUCAUGUACUCAUUCUUUUUCCCUUCUUUCUCUGCCUUGGUUAAUUCUUAAAUUUCCUCGUCAAACAUUUAAGUUUCGAGUACGACCUUACCAAAAAUGCCUAACUUGAAAAUUAGCAAGUACAGGUUCUUCUCGAUCUCCCAUUCUCAACUUUACUUCAGUUGAUUUCCAAUCCAUAAGAAGAUAAUCUUGGCAAGCGUACCAAGCAUUAAUUCUUACUGUAGUCUUCUCACCAAGUGCUUCAGUUACAACAAUUCACGAUCACCCUGAUCGUACAAUCAUAAUCACUAAGUAAUUCAAUCCACCUUUGUUGCCUCAUAUCAAAAUCCUUCCGAGUAAACAAAUAUUGGAGACUCUUUUGAUUUGUAAAAUCUUGCAUUCUUAUCAACAUAUAAUGUCUCCAUAACUUCACAGCAAGGAUGAUAAUCGUGACUUCCAAAUCACCAGUAGGGUAAUUCAUCUUAUGAGGUUCCAUUUGUCAUGAAACAUAUGCCAUCACCCUAACAUUUGUAUCAAUACACAUCCAAGAACGUUUAAUGUAAUAUCACCAUAAAUCGAUAAUUACCGCUAUCUUCUAGGAAUACUAAAAUACGUGCAUGAGUGAGGAAAUACUUCAGUUGUUGAAUCCUUUGCUCACAAUUACAUAACCUCUUUUCUCAACAGUCUCAUCAAUGACAAAGCAAUGACUGAAAAAUCUUUCACAACCAUCCAAGAUAGCCUGGUAAGCUAAGAAAUUCCGAAUCUCAAUUACAGCUCGUGGUUGUUCCAAUUCUCAAUUUCCGCUACCUUUUAAAAUUCACUUGAAUACCUUUAGCAAAUAUAACUUAUCUCAUAAAUGCUUCUUAAUUCAUCCAACAUUGGCAUUUGCUAAACUUAGCAUACAAUCGACGUUCCCUCAAACUUUGUAACAUCAACUUAAAAUAUCUAACAUGCUCUGCUCUAGGCUUAGAGUAUACUAGAAUAUCGUCAAUGAAAAAUGAUAUCAAUCUAUCAAGGCAUUCCUGGAAUACUUCAUCCAUCAACUCAUAAAACAACAUGAGUAUCCGUAUAGCAUCACCAAAGUUCAUAAAGACCAUAACGAGUCCAGAAACAAUCUUAGGAACAACGUCACUCAUAAUCUUCCAUUGGUAAUAAACAGACCUCCAGUCAAUCUUUGAAAGUACACAAGCACCUCUGAGCUGAUCAAAUAAACAUCAGUACACCACAAUGGAUAACGGUUCUCAUUCGUUACCCGAUUCCAUUAUCUAUAAUCAAUGGAUAGCCUUAAAAUCCAUUUUCUUCCUCACCAACGAACUGGGGCUCCCCCAAAGCGUUGUACUAGGUUGAAUAAAACUUUUAUCAACCAAUUCUUUCAACUGAAUUUCCAAUUCCUUUAACUCAUCAUGAACCAAUCUCCAAUAUAAAUUUAUACCUGGCAACAAAUCAAUAAUGAACCUCAUAUCUCUGCCUGAAGGCAAUCCAGGUAUACUUUCAAGGAAGACAUCAAGAAAAGUCUAACCCCUUUUUCAUUUUUCACACUUCUCCGAGCAACAUCCUUUAGUACCACAUGAACUAAGUAUUUUUUGGGCAGCCUUUCAAAACAAUCUCUUUGCUUUCACAGCAUAAAUGGCUGAGCUCACUUCACUUUGUAUGCCCACCAAAGUAACCUCUAAUUAAUCAACUCGAUGGAAAGUAACUGGUUUCCCGUAACAUUCCAUCUAGUCACAACUAUAAACAAUCAAUCUAAUGGAAUAAAAUUAACUGACCCAAUACAUACUUUAUUAUUACUGAACAUUCUAAAUAAGUACAACACUAACAUAAAAUAACCUACCGGUUUGCUUGCUUAACGAAUCCACGAAUGAGUUAUUAAUAUUACGGUCUGCAGCCCGCAAUACUGAUAAAUCAUCGUUGUCUCGAUAAGUAGGCAACCACUCUCAAAGAUAUAACAUUACUAUUUUGUCACUCAAUGCAAAAUACAUACACUCGUCUCAACUACAUUUAUUUACUACUCUCUAGGUAAUAACAUACAUAAUAAGAAAUAUAUCAGCCGAAGUCAACUAGAAUGACCAAUACGGCUGAUUCAACUCUUAUCUCAAUAAUACAUCGGCCGGAUCCACUCCGCAUGGUCGGUACGGCCGAGCCUAUAACUCACCAAUUUCUCAUGUGUCAGUCGAAUCCACUUCUCAUGGUCUGUACGGCUGAACAUAUAACUCAUCAAAUCUCUCUGUACUCACGGUCAAUCCGACCAAACUACUAAGUCCAUAACUCUGCUGAAUCGACACUAUGAUAUCAUGGAAAAUUGUUGAGUACAACUGAUUCUAGGGACGAUUCACAAUUCGGUGUCCCCUCUGUUCACAUAAACACAUUCAUUAAUUUCACACUUCCCAAAGUGUUAAUUUUGUACCUGCUGCACAAGGUACAUUUCCUUUACUCGAGACACCUUGUCUCAAAUAUCUGGGAUUACCAGUAUAUCCAUCACUUUUACUCUGACCAGCGACAUUAAAACCUCAGCUGGAAGAAUUAACUCUAGCUUCACUUCUUUCGAAGCUCAGAAUCUUUCUAUAUCCUUGAUAUGACGAAUCAUUAACUUUAUCGUCUUCUUUUGAUUCCCAUUCAUUUCUUAUUCUUCUUUAUUCUCGUUGCUCAUGUUUUCAGAGUCCUCAAGACUCAACAGCAUCUCGUAUAUUCCUGGUAAGAAGUAGAAUGGAUAGUGGUCACCCAAAAUACCACUUCCCUUUUUGCCACCCAGCUUAAAACAACAUAACACCUCCACCAAAUUAACAACAAUAUCUGGAUGGAACGAGGCAAGUCUGAAAACUUUCUAUAAUAUCCCUCGAUCAUCACCUUCCUUGUCUCAUAUUUGUAAACUCUUGUUUACUACCAUCGAUAAAUGCCGGAGGGAUAAACUUUUCCUUAAACAAGUCCUAAAAAAAAUUUUAAAUCGGCUGAUUCCUCUGGUGACAACAAUUAACAAUCCUGUUUCCACCAGAAUACAAAUUCAUACCCAAAACCAGGUAGUCGUCUCGACCCCCUGUCAGAAGGAAGAUUCCUUUGACUUGCAUAAUCCGAAACUUCUUUUCCAAACGGUUAAACCGUCACUUCGUUCCCUCAGGUUCAUCAUUUCAUAAGGUGAUUCAAAUUCAACUCAUAACCCGUCUUAAAAUGUCCAUUUUGAUAGUAUACUGAAUCACCAUAAUAAUAGUUUCCCCCUAAACCGCUAAAUCAGGGAGACUAAGUUCCUCUAACUACGUGGUUUGCUACGAGGCGGUGUAGUUCUGACAGAAUUCACUAGAAACUUUUCAAGAUGUCCAAGAUUGCAACCAUGCUCUGAUACCAACUGACACACCCCGUCCCGAAGGAGGGCAUGCUGGCCGUCACGUGAGAGUGACGUAACCAUUUGCAUUGUACGGAAGCUUUAAGAUACAAUUUAUAAGUUGAUACACCCGAAGGUGAGUCCUAAUUUGAUCCAUUCUGUCAGAACCCCGCUGAAUUCCUCGUAGCCACCACUCCCAGCUAUUCUUUAACCUGGAGGGGCGCAAAACCAAAAUCGAGUGGGUCAGUAAAACAAAUCCUUUCAAAUCCAACUUUUCUUUAAAACAUUGUAACCCCUCUCCGUAAAACUUGUAUACUUUCCCAGAAAUGUAAAAUAUAAAUAUACAUAUAUAUUCUCAAUACUUCAAUUCAUUAACUCAACAUUUUUCAAUACAAAUAUGCCAUGCCAUGUCGGAAUUCAACAGUAAGUAUGAAUGCAUCAACAAUAAUUAUAUCAGGUGCAAGAAGUAAUCAACUGGAGGCCCUCUAAUGGCCCUGUACGGUUGAACCUAGAGCUCAAAAUCUAUCACUCUCACUCUGCCAUAGUCACCUCUGUGACCUGUCCGGCCUUCUGCACAUAAGUCGGAACCACCUAAUGUAGUUUGUACGACUCAAUGGUUAAUAUUACGCUCUAGUGCUUCUCUCAUCAUCAUCUGUGCACAUAAUCUAAGGUCACCCACCAGUCGAAAUCUCACUAACACUCUACGACUGGCCCGUCGCACCCACUCCGCGUGAUAUGUACGACUAGCAUCUACUUGGAUCCAAGGCGAGCGUGCGAUGCGGUGAAUACUAUAAGCACUAAACCAUGGUGCAGGAUUUGAGCUCAAUAUAUAUCAACAUCAUCAUAACAGUAAUUAAAUACUCACCUGAUACUCACCUGUGCGUCCACCGCACCAAUUCAUACAUAUGCAUCAUAUAUCAAUUCAUAUCAUUUCAUGCAUGGCAAUUCGAUUCACAUUUCUAUAUACUUUUCAUAUACUUUCAUGCAUAGCAUUUCAACUAAUAUAUCUCAUAUACUUUUAUACAUUUUCAUUUAAAGCAUAAUUUCAUGCAUUUUCAAAUUCUGGGAAAACGGUAAGUGUAUAUGUAUACGGAAAAACAAAACUGCCCACUCACAGUAUACAUCGACGUGUCGUAGGUCCCUGAGCCUCCCUUAGCCAUGCCCAACGUCCGUACAAACCUCGCCUAUACGAGAAAUAACUGAAUUAACGUUAUUUAACGCAUAACCCAACUCUUAGCUAAUAACUCCUCAAAUAUUGCUCAGUUUGGGUAUAUGAAUAUACCACCGUGACCUACACGACGUCACGAACCCGUACAUAUUUUUAGAAAUAAUUUUGGACCAUGCACGCGCCCCCACGAGCCGGCGAGGACACGGGUCUACGCGCGGCCCACGCGCAGUAACCCUAACGGAAAUCUUAACGGCGUUCGGAAUAUUCCUCGGAAUAUUCUGUUAACUUCUAACGGUAACCGUUAAAACUGACUAACGGCGUCAGAAUAUUCCGUCAAACUUGACGGAAUAUUCCGUCACCUUCAACCUUCAGCUCCGGCGACCGUCGUCGGCGCCGGAAAUUGGGUAAACCUGCAACUUGAGUUUUCUCAGCCAUUUCUUCACCAUUUUCACUCAAAUUUCUUCCUACAUGCUCUAAAUUAAGAGAGGAAGAAGUCCUUACCUUCAAAAACUUGUAAAAACGCCUGAAAUUCGAAAGGGUAAAUUCUCAAAAACCGGCCUUCAUGGAACUCGUGAUCCCAACGUCAAAACUUACCCAACGAAGUACUCCGAGCUUCGUGGGAACCUCCUAGAGCUCCCUGUGAGCUUAGAUUUCCCUAAAACACAACAUAUUCAAAGAUCAUGAACAAUGCUCUUCACGGGAACUUUUAAAACUACGUUUUCCGAAGUAGAACUUACCUGAAAUGGGUACCAUUGUGUUCGUGUGGUCUUCAGGAGCACGAUGGUGGUUUCAAAUUGAACGAUGGUAGAAGUUUUAGAUGGUUUUGGAGCUUGCCCGUGUGAGUUCGAAGGAGAGAGAGACAGAACUGAGAGAAAUCGUGAGGGAGGAGAGAGAGAGGGACAAGGUACGGGAAUUGGGGAAGGUUUUGAGGGAUGUGGGGAUCCCACGUGUCCAACCCAAUCCCAAUUUCAAACUUUUAACAUAGAGACCUAAGUAUAAGUCUUGGUUUAGGUUUCUAAAACCAAUUAAUAUUCUAAUUCACCAAAGUUUAAGAACCUUAAGUAAAAACAAGUGUCCAAAUUACGCACUUUAGUCUCGUUUAGGGACAUUUUCGUAACUUCACGUCCUCGGAAUUAAAAAUUCCGGGACGGGCUGUGACAUUAUAGGGUUCUUCUGGCCUUUUAACUUUAUUUUUAAUUUCUUUCUAGAUUAAGCUAUUUUAGUUUUAUUUUUAUCUUUAGUAUUAGUUAAAAUCUAUAUAGGCAUCUAUAUCAUUUAAUGAAUCAAUAAGGACUCUUGGAUGUUAUGUAAUCAAAAGGUUUAAACAAAGUGAAAAAAUAUUUGUCAAGAUGAUGAUGAUGAUGAUGAUGAUGAUGAUGAUGAUAAUAAUAAUAAUAAUAAUAAUAUUAAACAAAGUGAAAAAAUAUUUGUCAAGAUGAUGAUGAUGAUGAUGAUGAUGAUGAUGAUGAUGAUGAUGAUGAUAAUAAUAAUAAUAAUAAUAAUAAUAAUAAUAAUAAUAAUAAGGACUCUUGGAUGUUACGUUAUCAAAGGGUUUAAACAAAGUGAAAAAAUAUUUGUCAAGAAGAAGAAGAAGAUGAUGAUGAUGAUAAUAGUAAAAAUAAAAAAAGUGUAAAAGUAUUUGUCAAAAUGAUAAUAAUAAUAAUAAUAAAAUACAAGGCGUCAUAAUAAUAAUAAUAAUAAUUCUUUGGUCCUACGAUUCUAUUACUAUGAAUGCGAGCAUCUCUAAUGCACCUAAGACUUAAAAGUUAUAUUUGAGUUUCUGGUUAAAGUGAGAUUCAAAUUUAGAUUUCAAUAUGAGAUUUGAGUUUUGAAUCUAACAAUGUUUAAUGCACAUAUUUAAAUUGUCAAAACUCAAUCCAAUAUGUUUUUCUCUCCAAUACAAACACUUAAAUCUUUAUCAUAUAUCAUUUUCUAUCAUAUAUAUAUAUAACUAGGACAAUGGAUUAGAGCACCCAUAUAUAGUAAUAUUUCACAAGUAAUAAUAUAAGGUGUCAUAGUCAGGAACGGAGGUCUUUGUAUUGCCCAGUGACGUAUGAUAUGUGUUAUUAAUUUAAGGGAACUUUAAUGAAAAGGGCUUGAACUAAGUUUAUUUUAACAAAAAGCCAUGCUAUAAACUUUAUUUAAUGAAAAAGAAUUAAAUUUUAAUGAAAACCCCUUAAAUUUUAAUAAAAAGGACAAAAAAACUUAAUUUUUAACGAAAAGGACACAAUUUAAAAAAAAACCAAAAAAAACAAAAAAUCUGACGCGCGCACAGUACAUGUACACUGUUUAUGAAACUGAACACUGUUUAUAAAACUGAACACUAUUUAUGAAACUGCACUAUUUAUGAAACUGAACGGUACUAUACUAUUUAUUGGUUCAAUUUUAUAAAUAGUGUCUAGUUUUUUGUCCACUUUCAUAAAAUGAUUUCUAGUUCUUGAUCAUGUUUCAUAAAUAAUGCCUAGUUAUUGGGUCCAAUUUCAUAAAUAAUGUAUAGUAAUUGAUACAAUUUCAUUAAUAUUGUCUCUUUCUUGGUUCGGUUUCAUAAAUAGUGUCUAGUUAUUGGUCAACUUUCAUAAAUAAUGCCUAUUUCUUGGUCAUAAUUCAUAAAUAUUGUCUAGUUCUUAAUUCAGUUUCAUAAAUAGUGUAUAGUCCAGUGUUCAAAUUAUGCCUAAUUCUUGUUUUCGUUUCAUAAAUAGUGUCUAUUUAUUGGUCUAAUUUCAUUAAUAAUGUCUACUUAUUGGUGAAGUUUUAUAAAUAGUGUUUAAUUCUUGGUUCAAUUUCAUAAUGUUUGAAACUUAGACCCUUAUUGGUCAAGUUUUAUAAAUAGUGUUUAAUUCUCAGUAAUUAUAUUUAAAAAGCUGUUUUCAAUUACCAAAUUAAAAUUUCCUCACUUUUUUCAUAUACCUACAAUAAUAAAUGUAGCUUUCCAUCCAAUUUCUUGAGCUUAGGUGUCAUCUUCGAGAAUUUUUUCCUUGUGCUCGUAACACAAAUGAUAUACCACAUGUUAUUAUAUAAGUGUGGUAGAAAAUUUUAUUUUUUAUGUUAUUAAAUUUUUAACACAAGAUUCUCACAACUUGUAUGGAGUGCUAUAUUCUGGGCACAUUGAAAAGUUUCUCAUCAUCAUGACUACUAUUAGACAACAACACCACAAAAAUAAAACAGGAGAAUGUAAUUCAAUUCGAAGUUUUUUUUUUUUAUUUCUUUGCAAAAAAAACAACUAUUAAUGUAGCUAAAUGAUGGGACAAAAGGUAGGAGAAAAAAAGUGGACUGGGGGGUGGGGGGGGGGUAUACGCCCAGUACUAGUGAGUUUGUUAUGUUUUUUUUUUUUUUAGUCUUUUGUCCUUAUUAUUAAAAUAAAGUUAGUGGGUGGUUUUUGAUUAAAAUGUAAAGAUUUGAAGCCCUUUUCAUUAGUUUUAUUUUAAUUGAAUAUAUCAAGUGAUUGAGCAACUAUGUUACUCUUCUUUUAAGAUUAUAAAAUAUGUUGGAGAAGCAAAGAGGGGGAUGUAGGUUACGGAUCAAUAGAGUUCAUAAUUCCUAAACAGAGCGUAUCCUUCCAUCUUCUCUACAUAUGCCCAAUUCCUUGUCGUAUUUUUAUUUUCUUUUUAAUGAUCCAGUGAAACUAUGGAGUUAAUGCUAUUUUAGGAAUGCUAAGGCUAAAUAAUUGAUCUUGUGUGCUAAUACUAAGUGUGUGGCAGGUACUAUACCAUAUGAAAUUGGCGAUCUUCAAAGUCUACAGUAUUUGUUACUCGAUCUUAACAAUCUCAACGGCCCCGUUCCAUCUACAAUCUUCAAUAUGUCAAAGAUGACAGUACUUUCACUUGUUGGCAAUCAACUCUCAGGUAGCCUCCCAGCAGACAUAGGCCUUGGAAUUCCGAACCUACAAAAGAUAUAUUUAGGAAUCAAUAAACUCAGCGGAGUCAUUCCCAAUUUUAUCUCCAAUGCUUCUAAGCUCAAUGUUGUAGACAUUACCGACAACUCAUUUUCCGGGUUUAUUCCUAACAAACUAUGUGCCUUAGCAAAGCUUGAGUAUCUUGGCUUAUACCAAAAUAAUUUGAAGGUUGACACUUCAACUCCAGAAGUAAACAUCUUUUCUUGUUUAGGUAAUCUUAGAAAUCUUCAGGUAUUGAUCCUGGGACGUAAUCCGUUAAACGCUCCUCUUCCUAUUUCUUUUCAGAAUUACUCUGCAUCGCUUCAAAAAAAUUUCUUUAAGCGAAUGCAAAUUGAAGGGUAGCAUUCCCAAUGAUUUUGGCAACUUGAGCAGCUUGAUAUCCAUAACCCUGGCAGGCAAUCAAUUGAGCGGGUUAAUUCCAACUUCUAUAGAAAGACUAGGGAGUCUCCAAGGUUUGUUUUUGCUUUAUAACAAGUUGCAAGGACAUAUUCCCGAUGAACUUUGUCAACUAAACAAACUAGCUGUAUUAGAUUUGAGUCAGAAUCAACCUUCUGGUUUUAUACCUUCUUGCUUAGGUAAUCUAUCUGCAAAUCUUAGAAUUCUGUCGUUAGCGUCCAAUUUGUUAACUUCUACACUGCCAUCUACAUUGUGGGAACUUGAACAAGUCUGGUUCUUGAACUUGUCAUCAAAUCUUCUAAAUGGAUCUCUGUCACAAGAUAUCGGCAAGUUGAAAAUUGCGUCAUCCGUGGAUCUAUCAAGCAACAAUUUAUUUGGUGUCAUACCAAGCAGCGUUGGGGAUCUUCUGGAUUUAACUAAUCUCUCCUUGGCAGAUAAUAAUUGUGAAGGCCCUAUUCCCAGUUCGUUCGGCAAAUUGAAAGGCCUGAUACUGUUGGAUUUAUCCAACAACAGUUUGUCUGAAGCAAUUCCAAGGUCGCUUGAAACACUCUUGAAUCUGAAGUACCUGAAUUUUUCUUUCAACCAACUGGGAGGGGAAAUUCCAGAAGGCGGACCUUUCAAAAACUUCUCUGCUCUAUCAUUUGUCUCGAAUAAGGCGUUGUGUGGUGCAGCUCGACUCCACGUCCCACCAUGCAAAAACAAUACACUUCAACCAAAUUCAAGGAAGGCUAGUUCAUCCAACUUGAAAUAUAUUAUUCCAGCAAUAAUCAUAGUAACAAUAUUCCUAGUAGCCUUUGUGUCGAUAUUUAUACUGCACAGGAAAAAGGAAAUUGAAGAUGCAACAGAGGCUACCGUGUUACCUCAAUCUCUUUGGAGAAGAGUUUCGCACCUGGAACUUCUAAGGGCGACAAAUGGAUUUAAUGAUAGUAACUUACUUGGAAGUGGGGGUUUUGGCUCAGUAUAUAAAGGGACACUCUCAGAUGGGAUAGAUAUUGCAGUAAAGAUUUUCGAUUUGCAGCUAGAAGGGGCUUUCAAGAGUUUUGAGAGGGAAUGUGAAACGCUAAGCAAUAUUCGGAACCGAAAUCUUAUCAAAAUCAUUAGCUGUUGCAGCCAAUUGGAUUUCAAAGCCUUGGUACUGAACUAUAUGCCUAAUGGUAGCCUUGAGAAGUGGUUGUAUUCUCAUAACUCUUCUUUCAAUAUCCUAAAUAGGUUGAAUAUAAUGGUAGAUGUUGCGUUGGUAGUGGAAUACCUACACCAUGGUUAUUCAGUGCCAAUUGUCCAUUGUGAUUUGAAGCCAAGCAAUAUCCUGCUAGAUGAUGAUAUGGCUGCACAUGUUGCGGAUUUUGGCAUUGCAAAACUCUUGGGUUUCGGGGAUUCCAUGACCCAAACCAUGACCCUAGCCACAGUUGGGUAUAUGGCUCCAGGUGAUCUACUUGCUAGUUUAAUAACUUUCAAUUUUAUAAUCAUGAAGAACUGAACUUCUAACUUUCUUUGGUAUAUUAAUAUUGCAGAGUACGGGAUGGAUGGAAUUGUUUCGACGCAAGGGGAUGUGUACAGUUUUGGUAUUGUAGUCAUGGAAACAUUCACAAAAAUGAAGGCUACGAAUGAAAUGUUUGUUGAUGAAAUGAAUCUAAAGCAAUGGGUUGCAAAUUCACUAUCAUCAGAAGCAAUAGCUGAAGUUGUGGAUGCCAAUUUAUUUGUAACACAAGGGGAAGAUCCUGAUUUUGCGACUA
rnacentral:lncRNA from 1 species